rnacentral:rRNA from 1 species
CAGCGCCACGAGUGGGGACUGUAAUUAUUGGGCCUAAAGCGUCCGUAGCCGGUUCGAUAAAUUUUUUGUGAAAUUGUUGGGCUCAACUCAACACCGUGCAGAAAAGACUGUCAAACUUGGGACUGGGAGGAGUCAGAAGUAUCUUUGGGGUAGCGGUAAAAUGUUAUAUCCUAAAGAGACUACCAGUGGCGAAAGCGUCUGACUAGAACAGGUCCGACGGUGAGGGACGAAAGCCAGGGGAGCAAACCGGAUUAGAGACCCGAGUAGUCC